AUGUGUCAGAUAAAUGUAUUAAAUUUAAGAUUUAAAAAUGAAAUUUAUUCCUUUAGUA
rnacentral:tRNA from 1 species